AGCUGUGACGUUACUCGCAGAAGAAGCACCGGCUAAUUUAGUGCCAGCAGCCGCGGUAAUACUAAAGGUGCAAGCGUUAAUCGGAAUUACUGGGCGUAAAGCGCGCGUAGGUGGUUUGUUAAGUUGGAUGUGAAAGCCCAGGGCUCAACCUUGGAACUGCAUUCAAAACUGACUCACUAGAGUACGAGAGAGGUUAGUGGAAUUUCCUGUGUAGCGGUGAAAUGCGUAGAGAUGGGAAGGAACACCAGUGGCGAAGGCGACUGACUGGCUCGAUACUGACACUGAGGUGCGAAAGCGUGGGGAGCAAACGGGAUUAGAUACCCCGGUAGUCCACGCCGUAAACGAUGUCUACUAGCCGUUGGAGGACUUGAUCCUUUAGUGGCGCAGCUAACGCGAUAAGUAGACCGCCUGGGGAGUACGGUCGCAAGAUUAAAACUCAAAUGAAUUGACGGGGGCCCGCACAAGCGGUGGAGCAUGUGGUUUAAUUCGAAGCAACGCGAAGAACCUUACCUACUCUUGACAUCCAGUGAACUUAGCAGAGAUGCUUUGGUGCCUUCGGGAACACUGAGACAGGUGCUGCAUGGCUGUCGUCAGCUCGUGUUGUGAAAUGUUGGGUUAAGUCCCGUAACGAGCGCAACCCUUGUCCUUAGUUACCAUCAUUUAGUUGGGG
rnacentral:rRNA from 1 species